rnacentral:rRNA from 1 species
CGACGCUCUUCCGAUCUUCAGAACGUACGCUGGCGGCACGCCUAACACAUGCAAGUCGAACGAAGUAGCAAUACUUAGUGGCAGACGGGUGAGUAACAUGUAGGUAUCUGCCCUUUGGCCUGGAAUAACACGAGGAAACUUGUGCUAAUACCGGAUAAGUCUUUACGGAGAAAGCUUUAUGCACCAUUGGAUGAGCCCGCACUUGAUUAGUUUGUUGGUAGGGUAAUGGCCUACCAAGACUAUGAUCAAUAGCUGAUUUGAGAGGAUGAUCAGCCACAUUGGGACUGAGACACGGCCCAAACUCCUACGGGAGGCAGCAGUGGGGAAUCUUGCACAAUGGGGGAAACCCUGAUGCAGCGAUGCCGCGUGAGUGAAGAAGGCCUUUGGGUUGUAAAACUCUUUCGUCGGGGAAGAAAAUGACUGUACCCGAAUAAGAAGGUCCGGCUAACUUCGUGCCAGCAGCCGCGGUAAUACGAAGGGACCUAGCGUAGUUCGGAAUUACUGGGCUUAAAGAGUUCGUAGGUGGUUGAAAAAGUUAGUGGUGAAAUCCCAGAGCUUAACUCUGGAACUGCCAUUAAAACUUUUCAGCUAGAGUAUGAUAGAGGAAAGCAGAAUUUCUAGUGUAGAGGUGAAAUUCGUAGAUAUUAGAAAGAAUACCAAUUGCGAAGGCAGCUUUCUGGAUCAUUACUGACACUGAGGAACGAAAGCAUGGGUAGCGAAGAGGAUUAGAUACCCUCGUAGUCCAUGCCGUAAACGAUGUGUGUUAGACGUUGGAAAUUUAUUUUCAGUGUCGCAGGGAAACCGAUAAACACACCGCCUGGGGAGUACGACCGCAAGGUUAAAACUCAAAUGAAUUGACGGGGACCCGCACAAGUAGUGGAGCAUGUGGUUUAAUUCGAAGAUACGCGCAGAACCUUACCAACACUUGACAUGUUCGUCGCGACUCUAAGAGAUUAGAGUUUUCGGUUCGGCCGGACGAAACACAGGUGCUGCAUGGCUGUCGUCAGCUCGUGUCGUGAGAUGUUGGGUUAAG